UGGGGACAACAGCUGGAAACGGCUGCUAAUACCGAAUACGUUUUUUCUGUCGCAUGGCAGAGAGAAGAAAGGGAGGCUCUUCGGAGCUUUCGCUGGAGGAGGGGCUUGCGUCUGAUUAGCUAGUUGGAGGGGUAACGGCCCACCAAGGCGACGAUCAGUAGCCGGUCUGAGAGGAUGAACGGCCACAUUGGGACUGAGACACGGCCCAGACUCCUACGGGAGGCAGCAGUGGGGAAUCUUCCGCAAUGGACGAAAGACUGACGGAGCAACGCCGCGUGAACGAUGACGGCCUUCGGGUUGUAAAGUUCUGUUAUACGGGACGAAUGGUACGACGGUCAAUACCCGUCGUAAGUGACGGUACCGUAAGAGAAAGCCACGGCUAACUACGUGCCAGCAGCCGCGGUAAUACGUAGGUGGCAAGCGUUGUCCGGAAUUAUUGGGCGUAAAGGGCGCGCAGGCGGCGUCGUAAGUCGGUCUUAAAAGUGCGGGGCUUAACCCCGUGAGGGGACCGAAACUGCGAUGCUAGAGUAUCGGAGAGGAAAGCGGAAUUCCUAGUGUAGCGGUGAAAUGCGUAGAUAUUAGGAGGAACACCAGUGGCGAAAGCGGCUUUCUGGACGACAACUGACGCUGAGGCGCGAAAGCCAGGGGAU
rnacentral:rRNA from 1 species